AAGGAAGUGGCAGAGUGGUCAUGUAGUUGGCUUGAAACCAUCUUACGGGGGUUCGAUUCCUCCCUUUCUCG
rnacentral:tRNA from 1 species